rnacentral:rRNA from 1 species
UACGGAGGAUGCGAGCGUUAUCCGGAUUUAUUGGGUUUAAAGGGUGCGCAGGCGGUCGAUUAAGUCAGCGGUGAAAUGUCCCGGCUCAACCGGGGAGCUGCCGUUGAUACUGGUUGGCUUGAGUGCGGACGGCGCCGGCGGAAUGAGUGGUGUAGCGGUGAAAUGCAUAGAUAUCACUCAGAACACCGAUCGCGAAGGCAGCUGGCGAGGCCGUCACUGACGCUGAGGCACGAAAGCGUGGGGAUCAAAC